ensembl:lncRNA
GCAGCUGCUCCCUCUCCCACCUCAACACCUACUCCAUCUCCUAAAUAAUGUCUCUCCUCCCCUUCCUUCCCUCCCAGCCUCCCAUUAGGCUGAACUGUCCCCUCGCCCGCCCCUAGCCUAGCCCUCCAGCCCCUUCCAGGAAGCCCCAGGGCCCCGUCAGUCCCCCUCCUCCCUGCAGCCUCCUCUCCAGAACCCUCAGGUGCCCCAGUCCCUGGGCCCCCCAUGGCAGGCCCCCACCAGAGGGUCCCCAAGCAGGAGGGAGGUUGGGGCUGUUCGGGACAUGGCUUUCUGGUCUGUUUUCCAGCCACCUCCUGGCUGCUGCUGUCCCCAUCUGGUCUCACUCGGGGGUCCCCACCAUGGGUGGGCACCCUAGGUGGGACGGGUGAGCCAGCCGGGGUCCUGGGCCCGUCUUCCUUCGCCAGCUCCUCAGCUCUGCAGACGGUCUGUGCUGCCCCCUGCUGGCCAGGGCCGCCUCUGUCCUUCCGUUCCUCAGCCCCAUCGGGGUCUGCGAUGCCCAGCUCCCCAUGCAUCAGCCACACAGUCCUCCUGAGGUUAUCCUGCACCUGGGAGAAGCCAGGCAUGGCCUCCACGCCCUGGACUGGGCAGUCUUGCCCACUGAGGAUUGGGGGCUCUCACGUCCCAGGGGCAGCUUGUCAACCCGGACCCCGAGGCCCAGGACAAGCAGGACAAGACAGAGCUGACUGUACACUCAGCAAGGGCACCUCUGUUCAGCAGUCCAUGGACCCUUCAGCCACGAUCCCUACAACCUCUCCCCCUUUCCUCUGGAUUCAAGAGACCUCUAAACAGGGUGGUUUCAAUUUUCCUGAAACCACGGUCAAACACGGAAGGUCUAAGAAAUGCCCCACCACAUGAUGAUACACACUGUAUUUGCUCCGAUCAGCACCAGUGAGAGCAUCACACCUGUGUCACAGCCAGGGCCCAGCCAAGAAACUUCUCCACCGACAGCCGGCUGGCGGGAGGAUGGGGGGCGGUCCCUGGGUACUGCCGGGCGCUCAGCACUAUCACCAGCCUCCAACCUCUAGAUGCCAGCAGUGUCACCCACCCCGAUUGCCACAAUGGAAAGAAAAUGUCUCUAGGCAUUGCCAAAUGUCCCGGGGGGGGGGGGCAAAUUGGCCCUCAGCUGCUUCGAGAACCAUUGCCCUACAGAGAUAACGAAGAGAUGCAGUCACUUAGAACAGGGAACAGCUGGUCAGGCCUCCAACAAUAAAGGGUUGUUAAAAAACCAGGCCACCUCCCUCCCUCGAUGUGGCGCCACGCGGGCCUCGACAGCAACGUGGAGAGCUCAGUGAGAUGGUGACAUGAUUAAAAAAAGCAGAAGUGUAAAAGCAGGUUAUAAAACAGCUUGUACUCUUGGGAUCCCACACAGAACACGUAUGGAAAAAUCCUGAACAACAGUAGUCAGCUGUGGGUGGUGGGGUAACAGGUGAUUUCCUUCUUUAUACUUUAUUUUCCAAAUUUCCUACAGUGAACACAUAUUACUUAUAUAAAUAGCUGAAACAAAUUCUUUUUUUGAGUGGUUUAAAAAAAACACUCUAAUGUGUCCCAGUUGGUGGGAGACCACUGAGGCUGCAGGGCUUCACCGCCACCACCCCCAUUUGCUCUGGGUAAGCCUCUCCCCACCCCUGGGGUGGAAACAGUGAACUGGCUCAGGCGUCAGCACCAGUGAGCCCACCCAGUUCCAAGUCCUGGGCUCUUUUCACUGCUCUGACUUUUCAGAACAUCUUAGACCUCCAGUGUGCAGGACCUGCUGCUCUUAUCGGUAGCUGAACUGGUGGCAGUUGCCUGGAAGGUCCUUCAUCCCGCAUUUCUACUUGGAGCUGCGUGGUGCCUACACCAAAGCCCCAUAAAGUACCCUUGGGGGCACACAUGUACUCACUUCACAGGUAACAAAGAAAACUAUCUUUUCAUUGGCAAGAAGUCAUCUUGCUGCCUGUGAGGUUUCCAGUGAACAGAGGACAGAAUUUCAGCUUGGAGAAGCAAGGCUUUUUGACCCUGCUGAGGGUUGAGGCUUUUCACAUGUGAACUGGAUGACAAAAAUCCCAGUUCCCAAGUCUGGCUAGAGGCUUUCUGCAGGGAUCCAUUCCCAGCAUCUGGACUCUCUACCUUUCUCCCCAAAUCUGUGAAGAUGUUCUGUUCGGUUUCAGAAGUUCUAACUUUCACACCUUUCCCAGAGUUGGGGUCUUGUCAAAAUCUAAGGCUCAACCUAAAUAAUUAAGCUUAACACCCAGAAAAGUUAAGAGUACUCCUUCCAGCCCCUCCUGUUGCCGAUAAAUCUCUGUGCACUCUCCCCUUCUGCCUUCGUAGCAAAACCCUGGCUUUGAGCCUGGCAUGCAACUGCCCAGCUAGAGGAGCACAUUUCCAAGAUGCUCUUGCAGCAUCCGUGGCUGCAGGGAAAAUGCUUCAGAGGCCACCUCAGACAAGGGGCACCCAAGCCCGGCAGGUGGAACACCCUCAAGUGUUUAACCUGGUGCACACGUGUGACAGCCAGUAUCACUCCUGACCUGGCAAUGGGGACUGGGGCGGGGUCCUGCCUGGCUACACACUCAUCCCACUGCAAUGUCAGGCCUGGCUUGGUGCCUGCUGGUCCAGGAAUUUAGUUGGAACUGAGACCAAUGGCUCUAGAAACAGCCUGGCUUUGGGCCCCUCCCAGCCAGCAUGCACUCAGUCAGGAUGGGACACACGUGACCAGAGACUGACGGCAGUGGCACCAACACCCCCAGACUUGUUCCCAUCUGCCAUCUCGGUCCAACCCGGGGCUCCCUUCUGCACGUCUGCACUCUGCCUGCUAUGCACCUUGCUAGUCCCACUCAGUAUUCUCCUUAUUUCAACCCCCUCGUCGACUGAUACCAAGCUGGGCGUCAUGCUCCCUCUUAAGGGUCACAUCUCGUGGGGAGCCCAGACACCCCUGAGCGGAAGUGUGGGAGAGCACUUCUCUCAUGGGGUUCACAGGCGGACUUCGUCAAUCCCUGAGCAGAGGUAGCGGGCGAGCACGUUUCUCAGCGGGCUUACGAAUCUCUCUUAGGAAGUGUCGUGGCCGCACACCUUCCCUCCUAUCCUGGAUUCCUCUUAUAUCCUCCUCUCCUGACUUCUUGGACCGUCUAUUGGUCCUUGAGCCUCCUUGGAGGCCCCUGGCUCUAUUUGUUUCUCUUUCUUUUGUUUCAGUGAUAAAGUUAAUCUGUUUAGUUGGCUCAGGGCCUAGGUCUCCUCCCUCCAUCUCUGAAGGAUUGAGGCCCUG